rnacentral:rRNA from 1 species
UGGCGGACGGGUGAGUAAUGUCUGGGAAACUGCCCGAUGGAGGGGGAUAACUACUGGAAACGGUAGCUAAUACCGCAUAACGUCGCAAGACCAAAGAGGGGGACCUUCGGGCCUCUUGCCAUCGGAUGUGCCCAGAUGGGAUUAGCUAGUAGGUGGGGUAACGGCUCACCUAGGCGACGAUCCCUAGCUGGUCUGAGAGGAUGACCAGCCACACUGGAACUGAGACACGGUCUAG